CCUACGGGUGGCUGCAGUGGGGAAUUUUGGACAAUGGGCGCAAGCCUGAUCCAGCUAUUCCGCGUGUGGGAUGACGGCCCUCGGGUUGUAAACCACUUUAGUAGAGAACGAAAAGGAGCUAUCGAAUAAAUAGCUAUGCUGACGGUACUCUAAGAAUAAGCACCGGCUAACUACGUGCCAGCAGCCGCGGUAAUACGUAGGGUGCGAGCGUUAAUCGGAAUUACUGGGCGGAAAGGGUGGGCUGGCGGCUGAGUAGGACAGAUGUGAAAUCCCCGGGCGUAACCUGGGAACCGCAUAGGUGACUGCUUGGCUAGAGUGCGUAAGGGGGAGGUGGAAUUCCAGGUGUAGCAGUGAAAUGCGUAGAUAUGUGGAAGAACACCGAUGGCGAAGGCAGCCUCCUGGGACGCAACUGACGCUCAUACACGAAAGCGUGGGGAGCAAACAGGAUUAGAUACCCGGGUAGU
rnacentral:rRNA from 1 species